rnacentral:rRNA from 1 species
UACGGAGGGGGCGAGCGUUAUUCGGAAUUAUUGGGCGUAAAGGGCGCGUAGGCGGCUGUACAAGUCAAAGGUGAAAUCCCUCGGCUCAACUGAGGAACUGCCUUUGAAACUGUACGGCUUGAGGCCGGGAGAGGUGAGUGGAAUUCCCAGUGUAGCGGUGAAAUGCGCAGAUAUCAGGAGGAACACCAAUGGCGAAGGCAGCUCGCUGGGACGUGACUGACGCUGAGGCGCGAAAGCGUGGGGAGCAAACAGG